UACAGAGGGGGCAAGCGUUGUUCGGAAUUACUGGGCGUAAAGGGCGCGUAGGCGGCCCGCUAAGUCGAACGUGAAAUCCCCAGGCUCAACCUGGGAACUGCGUCCGAUACUGGCAGGCUUGAAUCCGGGAGAGGGAUGUGGAAUUCCAGGUGUAGCGGUGAAAUGCGUAGAUAUCUGGAGGAACACCGGUGGCGAAGGCGGCAUCCUGGACCGGUAUUGACGCUGAGGCGCGAAAAGCUAGGGGAGCAAACGGGG
rnacentral:rRNA from 1 species